rnacentral:rRNA from 1 species
UACGUAGGAGACAAACGUUAUCCGGAGUUACUGGGCGUAAAGGGCGUGUAGGCGGUUAGUUAAGUCUGGCGUGAAAGCUCUCGGCUAAACCGGGAGAGGUCGUUGGAUACUGGCUGACUAGAGGACGGUAGAGGCGUGUGGAAUUCCGGGUGUAGUGGUGAAAUGCGUAGAGAUCCGGAGGAACACCAGUGGCGAAGGCGGCAUCCUGGACCGACAUUGACGCUGAGGAGCGAAAGCCAGGGGAGCAAACGGG